rnacentral:rRNA from 1 species
UACGGGGGGUGCAAGCGUUGUUCGGAAUCAUUGGGCGUAAAGCGCGUGUAGGCGGCCGGAUAUGUCAGAUGUGAAAGUCCCGGGCUCAACUCGGGAAGUGCAUUUGAAACUGUUCGGCUAGAGUUAGGGAGAGGAAAGUGGAAUUCCUGGUGUAGAGGUGAAAUUCGCAGAUAUCAGGAGGAACACCGGUGGCGAAGGCGGCUUUCUGGCCCUCUACUGACGCUGAGACGCGAAAGCGUGGGGAG